rnacentral:lncRNA from 1 species
CCCAGCUCUCACUAGACACGCUGAAGGAGCUGUGGCUGAGGGGGCCAGUGACUCGUUCAGCCAGCCCUGUCCAGCCGCUAUGUCCAUCCACUUCAGCUCUCGCUCCACUGCCUAUCCCGGCCGCGGGGCUCAGGUGCGGCUGAGCUCGGGCCGCGCGGGCUUCGGCAGCAGGAGCCUCUAUGGCCUGGGCACUUCCAGGCCUCGUGUGGCCGUGCGCUCCGCUUAUGGGGGCCCGGUGGGCGCCGGCAUCCGUGAGAUCACCAUCAAUCAGAACUUGCUGGCACCUCUGAGUGUGGACAUCGACCCCACCAUCCAGCAGGUGCGCCAGGAAGAGCGUGAGCAGAUCAAGACCCUCAACAACAAAUUCGCCUCCUUCAUCGACAAGGUGCGCUUCCUGGAACAGCAGAACAAGAUGCUGGAGACCAAGUGGGCGCUGCUGCAGGAUCAGAAGUCAGCCAAGAGCAGCCAGCUUCCCCGCAUCUUCGAGGCCCAGAUUGCUGGUCUGCGGCAGCAGCUUGAGGCACUGCAGCUGGAUGGGGGCCGCCUGGAGGUGGAGCUGCGGAGCAUGCAGGAUGUGGUGGAAGAUUUCAAGAACAAGUAUGAGGAGGAGAUCAACCGACGCACAGCUGCCGAGAACGAGUUUGUGCUGCUGAAGAAGGACGUGGAUGCUGCCUACACAAACAAGGUGGAGCUGGAGGCCAAGGCAGACAGUCUGCAGGACAAGAUCAACUUUCUCAAGACCCUUCAUGAGACAGAGUUAGCAGAGCUGCAGUCACAGAUCUCAGACACAUGCGUGGUGCUGUCCAUGGAUAACAGCCGCUCCCUGGACUUGGAUGGCAU